rnacentral:rRNA from 1 species
CGGACGGGUGCGUAACGCGUAGGAAUAUACCUGGUAGUGGGGGACAACCCGGCGAAAGCCGGGCUAAUACCGCAUACGAUCUACGGAUGAAAGCAGGGGACCGCAAGGCCUUGCGCUAUCAGAUUAGCCUGCGUCGGAUUAGCUAGUUGGUGAGGUAAAGGCUCACCAAGGCAACGAUCCGUAGCUGGUUUGAGAGAACGACCAGCCACACUGGGACUGAGACACGGCCCAGACUCCUACGGGAGGCAGCAGUGGGGAAUAUUGGACAAUGGGGGCAACCCUGAUCCAGCAAUGCCGCGUGUGUGAAGAAGGCCUUCGGGUUGUAAAGCACUUUCGAUGGGGAAAAACAAGCCAGACCUAACACGUCUGGCCCUGAUGGUACCCAGAGAAGAAGCACCGGCUAACUCUGUGCCAGCAGCCGCGGUAAUACAGAGGGUGCAAGCGUUAAUCGGAAUUACUGGGCGUAAAGGGUGCGUAGGUGGUUUGUUAAGUCAGGCGUGAAAUCCCUGGGCUCAACCUGGGAACUGCGUUUGAUACUGGCAGACUCGAGUCUGGUAGAGGGUAGUGGAACUCCGCAUGUAGCGGUGAAAUGCGUAGAUAUGCGGAGGAACAUCAGUGGCGAAGGCGGCUACCUGGACCAAGACUGACACUGAGGCACGAAAGCGUGGGGAUCAAACAGGAUUAGAUACCCUGGUAGUCCACGCCCUAAACGAUGGGUACUAGACG